CACGUUGAACUAGCCCGGGAGCUUCCCUGGGACACCAAGGAGCUGUCACGUUGAACUAGCCCGGGAGCUUCCCUGGGACACCAAGGAGCUGUUGAAUAGAUCGACCAGUGUGCCAUUUACUUCCUCAUUUACACGUCAGUGCAUUUGUUUUGAGUGAGGAGGAGAGUAGCUUGGUCUGGGAAUCAGUCACCAAUUUCUCCUUCUUGUGUGUCCCCGCCUCCCUACCGAAAGUCUCACAGCGGGUGUUUUACAGUUGUAACUUUCAAUACCCAGGAAUAAUCCCCUUUUGAUGCAUUUCCCCAUAUGGACUAUUUCAACAAUGGACUAAUAAAACAAAUAUCAAAAGACAGUUUUGGGUUCUGACCAGGAUAAUAGAGGUACUACAGACUAAAGAGUUGUGGGGUCUGACCAGGAUAAUAGAGGUACUACAGACUAAAGAGUUGUGGGGUCUGACCAGGAUAAUAGAGGUACUAUAGACUAAAGAGCUGUGGGGUCUGACCAGGAUAAUAGAGGUACUACAGACUAAAGAGCUGUGGGGUCUGACCAGGAUAAUACAGGUACUACAGACUAAAGAGCUGUGGGGUCUGACCAGGAUAAUAAGAUUACUACAGACUAAAGAGCUGUGGGGUCUGACCAGGAUAAUAGAGGUACUACAGACUAAAGAGCUGUGGGGUCUGACCAGGAUAAUAGCGAUACUACAGACUAAAGAGCUGUGGGGUCUGACCAGGAUAAUAGAGGUACUAUAGACUAAAGAGUUGUGGGGUCUGACCAGGAUAAUAGAGGUACUACAGACUAAAGAGCUGUGGGGUCUGACC
rnacentral:lncRNA from 1 species